rnacentral:rRNA from 1 species
UACGUAGGGAGCGAGCGUUGUCCGGAAUUACUGGGCGUAAAGGGUGCGUAGGCGGUAGCUUAAGUCAGAUGUGAAAUACCCGUGCUUAACAUGGGGGGUGCAACUGAAACUGGGGUACUUGAGUACAGGAGAGGAAAGUGGAAUUCCUAGUGUAGCGGUGAAAUGCGUAGAUAUUAGGAGGAACACCAGUGGCGAAGGCGACUUUCUGGACUGUAACUGACGCUGAGGCACGAAAGCGUGGGGAGCAAAC